AGGACGGAAGGACCUCAGGUCGGUAGAUCCACAAGACGGAAAGACCUCAAGUCGGAAGGUCUUCAGGUCGGGAGAUCCACAAGACGGAAAGACCUCAAGUCGGAAGGUCUUCAGGUCGGGAGAUCCGCAAGACGGAAAGACCUCAAGUCGGAAGGUUUUCAGGUCGGGAGAUCCACAAGACGGAAAGACCUCAAGUCGGAAGGUCUUCAGGUCGGGAGAUCCACAAGACGGAAAGACCUCAAGUCGGAAGGUCUUCAGGUCGGGAGAUCCACAAGACGGAAAGACUUCAAGUCGGAAGGUCUUCAGGUCGGGAGGUCCGCAAAACGGAAAGUCGUCGAGAUGGGAUAUCCGCAGGUCGG